rnacentral:lncRNA from 1 species
AUGUGGAUUGAGCCGCUCAACACUGUUAUGGAUGAUGAUAAGUGCUUUACUGAUGGUUUCGAGGUUCUGACUCUCACAAGCAACGAACAUGUGCUUACAACUCCAUCAAUGCGGCUGCUGUUUCAGACACUCUGUUCUCUAUUGGAUUGUUUGCUGACCCCUGAAAAUGUGCCUCUGGAUUGCCCCGGGGAGCUCUAUGAGAUGUAUUUUGCUUUGCUUUUUGUAUUUGGGCACUUGGUGGGUCUCGCUCUCAAGAUCAAGUUAGAGGAAGUGACUACACUAUCUCACUGUGCUUGAAAAACAUAUAUUUAAAAAUGUAUAUGUCUUUUUUUAAUAUAUAAAUGUAUACAUGGCUAAAUGUGKGUUCCACCCACUAAUACUGAUAGUGGCUGCAGAGCAGCAGCCUAUGCAUCUGAUUUGUUGGCCUGUAGUACUGUAUACUUUAGCUAUCAGAGUUCAUCUGGAAAUGAGCUAACUCAACUGGAGGGAGUAGACUGCCUACAGUGCAAGGUUCUGUGCAGACUAAUGUACCAUGCAUGGUGAAGCCAUGUUUACUUUGGAAAGUGUUACCAGUUGUACGAAGUCCCUGGCUAAGCAACAAAAAGUAAUCUGAAGGUCACUCCUACCAGAUUUAAAGCAUCUGGUAAGGGGUCUGGACAGACUCAUGGUUACUCUUCCUGCUGGAUUUAUACUGAGAAGUGUAGAUAUCACUAAGGCAUUAUAAUACAUUUCCCUUAGUGACAUGUUUUGAUGUGAUGCUGCGAAAGGUUUGGGUAAGAAAGCUGUAAAACUGUACUAUCACUUAUCAGUGAUUUGAUUAGAUAGAUCUUAAUUUCUUGGCAAAUAUCUAGUUAUACCUGCUUAUUAAAGACUAACAAGAAUACGGUUAGCUCUACUUCAGUGUAAAUUAGAUGACGCCUUUGUGAAAAAGGCACAAAUUUAUGCAUGCAUAAUCUGUAGGUAAAGAAGCAACUUACCUAAUUUUAAGCAGCCCAUUAUUGCACCAAGAGACUGAGAAGAAAUUUUUGGAAGAAAAGAGACAUUAAUGUCUGUUUUCCUGUCCUUCCAAAAGACUUCCUGUUCUGUGGAGAUGCUCAGGAAGGUCUUGUCUGAAGCAAGUCAUCCCUGCAGUCUCACAGCUGUAUAAGUUUAAACUGAAUUUAGAAAUUUUAGGAAAUAAAAAUAUUUGGUCUGGAUGUUUUCA